AUUGAACGCUGGCGGCAUGCUUUACACAUGCAAGUCGAACGGUAACAGGCCUUCGGGUGCUGACGAGUGGCGAACGGGUGAGUAAUGCAUCGGAACGUACCCAGAGGUGGGGGAUAACGCAGCGAAAGCUGUGCUAAUACCGCAUGUGAUCUGAGGAUGAAAGCGGGGGACCGAGCAGCAAUGUUUGGCCUCGCGCCUUUGGAGCGGCCGAUGUCGGAUUAGCUAGUUGGUGGGGUAAAGGCCUACCAAGACGACGAUCCGUAGCUGGUCUGAGAGGACGACCAGCCACACUGGGACUGAGACACGGCCCAGACUCCUACGGGAGGCAGCAGUGGGGAAUUUUGGACAAUGGGCGCAAGCCUGAUCCAGCAAUGCCGCGUGCGGGAAGAAGGCCUUCGGGUUGUAAACCGCUUUUGGCAGGAACGAAACGGUGUCCGCUAAUACCGGGCGCUAAUGACGGUACCUGCAGAAUAAGCACCGGCUAACUACGUG
rnacentral:rRNA from 1 species